UACGUAGGGUGCGAGCGUUAAUCGGAAUUACUGGGCGUAAAGCGCACGUAGGCGGUUAGUUAAGUUGGAUGUGAAAGCCCCGGGCUCAACCUGGGAAUUGCAUUCAAAACUGGCUAACUAGAGUAUGUGAGAGGGGGGUAGAAUUCCAAGUGUAGCGGUGAAAUGCGUAGAGAUUUGGAGGAAUACCAGUGGCGAAGGCGGCCCCCUGGCACAAUACUGACGCUGAGGUGCGAAAGCGUGGGGAGCAAACAGG
rnacentral:rRNA from 1 species